GAUAACAAAAAAUAGCAGCUUUAUUAGGGCAAAAACAGCAACGUUUUGACCGUACCGGGAAGUGUCAAAGCAUUGCUGUUUUUGCCCUAAUAAAACUGCUAUUUUUUGUUAUC